GAAGAACAAGAAAACAAUUUUCAGCGAUGGAUGUCUUGACUCGCGCAACGAUGAAGGAGGGAGUGAAAUGCGAAGCGCAAUGUGAAUUGUAGAAUUCAGGGAAUCAUCAGAUUUCUGGACAUAAAUGGCACCUUGUCAGUC
rnacentral:rRNA from 1 species